GAUGAACGCUGGCGGCGUGCUUAAUACAUGCAAGUCGAACGGAGUAUGUAGCAAUACGUACUUAGUGGCGAACGGGUGAGUAACGCGUUGGUGACCUGCCUCGAAGAGAGGGAUAACAAUCCGAAAGGAUUGCUAAUACCUCAUGUGAUUGUGGAGUUUAGAAGUCCAUAAUUAAAGGAGUAAUUCACUUCGAGAGGGACCUGCGUACCAUCAGCUAGUUGGUGAGGUAAUGGCCCACCAAGGCUAUGACGGUUAGGGGACCUGAGAGGGUGGCCCCCCACAAUGGAACUGAAACACGGUCCAUACACCUACGGGAGGCUG
rnacentral:rRNA from 1 species